GACUCGUCACACUAUCAUUAACUGAAUCCAUAGGUUAAUGAGGCGAACCGGGGGAACUGAAACAUCUAAGUACCCCGAGGAAAAGAAAUCAACCGAGAUUCCCCCAGUAGCGGCGAGCGAACGGGGAGGAGCCCAGAGCCUGAAUCAGCAUGUGUGUUAGUGGAAGCGUCUGGAAAGGCGCGCGAUACAGGGUGACAGCCCCGUACACAAAAGCGCAUGUGCUGUGAGCUCGAUGAGUAGGGCGGGACACGUGGUAUCCUGUCUGAAUAUGGGGGGACCAUCCUCCAAGGCUAAAUACUCCUGACUGACCGAUAGUGAACCAGUACCGUGAGGGAAAGGCGAAAAGAACCCCGGCGAGGGGAGUGAAAAAGAACCUGAAACCGUGUACGUACAAGCAGUGGGAGCACCCUUUUGGGUGUGACUGCGUACCUUUUGUAUAAUGGGUCAGCGACUUAUAUUCUGUAGCAAGGUUAACCGAAUAGGGGAGCCGGAGGGAAACCGAGUCUUAAUUGGGCGUUAAGUUGCAGGGUAUAGACCCGAAACCCGGUGAUCUAGCCAUGGGCAGGUUGAAGGUUGGGUAACACUAACUGGAGGACCGAACCGACUAAUGUUGAAAAAUUAGCGGAUGACCUGUGGCUGGGGGUGAAAGGCCAAUCAAACCGGGAGAUAGCUGGUUCUCCCCGAAAGCUAUUUAGGUAGCGCCUCGUGAAUUCAUCUCCGGGGGUAGAGCACUGUUUCGGCUAGGGGGCCAUCCCGGCUUACCAACCCGAUGCAAACUGCGAAUACCGGAGAAUGUUAUCACGGGAGACACACGGCGGGUGCUAACGUCCGUCGUGAAGAGGGAAACAACCCAGACCGCCAGCUAAGGUCCCAAAGUCAUGGUUAAGUGGGAAACGAUGUGGGAAGGCCCAGACAGCCAGGAUGUUGGCUUAGAAGCAGCCAUCAUUUAAAGAAAGCGUAAUAGCUCACUGGUCGAGUCGGCCUGCGCGGAAGAUGUAACGGGGCUAAACCAUGCACCGAAGCUGCGGCAGCGACGCUGAUGCGUUGUUGGGUAGGGGAGCGUUCUGUAAGCCUGCGAAGGUGGCCUGUGAGGGUUGCUGGAGGUAUCAGAAGUGCGAAUGCUGACAUAAGUAACGAUAAAGCGGGUGAAAAGCCCGCUCGCCGGAAGACCAAGGGUUCCUGUCCAACGUUAAUCGGGGCAGGGUGAGUCGACCCCUAAGGCGAGGCCGAAAGGCGUAGUCGAUGGGAAACGGGUUAAUAUUCCCGUACUUGGUGUUACUGCGAAGGGGGGACGGAGAAGGCUAUGUUGGCCGGGCGACGGUUGUCCCGGUUUAAGCGUGUAGGUGUGUGUUCCAGGUAAAUCCGGUUCACUUUAACACUGAGGCGUGAUGACGAGGCACUACGGUGCUGAAGCAACAAAUGCCCUGCUUCCAGGAAAAGCCUCUAAGCAUCAGGUAACAUCAAAUCGUACCCCAAACCGACACAGGUGGUCAGGUAGAGAAUACCAAGGCGCUUGAGAGAACUCGGGUGAAGGAACUAGGCAAAAUGGUGCCGUAACUUCGGGAGAAGGCACGCUGACACGUAGGUGAAGUGAUUUACUCACGGAGCUGAAGUCAGUCGAAGAUACCAGCUGGCUGCAACUGUUUAUUAAAAACACAGCACUGUGCAAACACGAAAGUGGACGUAUACGGUGUGACGCCUGCCCGGUGCCGGAAGGUUAAUUGAUGGGGUCAGCGCAAGCGAAGCUCCUGAUCGAAGCCCCGGUAAACGGCGGCCGUAACUAUAACGGUCCUAAGGUAGCGAAAUUCCUUGUCGGGUAAGUUCCGACCUGCACGAAUGGCGUAAUGAUGGCCAGGCUGUCUCCACCCGAGACUCAGUGAAAUUGAACUCGCUGUGAAGAUGCAGUGUACCCGCGGCAAGACGGAAAGACCCCGUGAACCUUUACUAUAGCUUGACACUGAACAUUGAGCCUUGAUGUGUAG
rnacentral:rRNA from 1 species